UACGUAGGGGCUAGCGUUGUCCGGAAUCAUUGGGCGUAAAGAGCUUGUAGGCGGUCUGUCGCGUCUGCUGUGAAAAUCCGGGCUCACCCGGACUUGCAGUGGGUACGGGCAGACUAGAGUGUGGUAGGGGAGACUAGAAUUCUCGGUGUAGCGGUGAAAUGCGUAGAUAUCGAGAGGAACACCUGCGGCGAAGGCGGGUUGCUGGGCUGACACUGACGCUGAGGCGCGAAAGCUAGGGGAGCGAACGGG
rnacentral:rRNA from 1 species